AGCGAACGCUGGCGGCAGGCUUAACACAUGCAAGUCGAGCGGGCAUCCUUGUGGUGUCAGCGGCAGACGGGUGAGUAACGCGUGGGAACGUGCCCUUCGGUUCGGAAUAACUCAGGGAAACUUGAGCUAAUACCGGAUACGUGCGAGAGCAGAAAGGUUUAUCUGCCGAAGGAUCGGCCCGCGUCUGAUUAGCUAGUUAGUGAGGUUAUGGCUCACCAAGGCGACGAUCAGUAGCUGGUCUGAGAGGAUGAUCAGCCACACUGGGACUGAGACACGGCCCAGACUCCUACGGGAGGCAGCAGUGGGGAAUAUUGGACAAUGGGGGCAACCCUGAUCCAGCCAUGCCGCGUGAGUGAUGACGGCCUUAGGGUUGUAAAGCUCUUUUCUUCGGGACGAUAAUGACGGUACCGGAGGAAUAAGCCCCGGCUAACUUCGUG
rnacentral:rRNA from 1 species